CGCGUAAGGCGGCUUGGCAAGCCUGGUGUUAAAAACAACGGCUUAACCGUUGGUAAGCGCUGGGAACUGCCUGGCUAGAGGUCUGGAGGGGGAGCUGGAAUUCCUGGUGUAGGGGUGAAAUCUGUAGAUAUCAGGAAGAACACCGGUGGCGAAGGCGAGCUCCUGGCCGGACUCUGACGCUGAGGCGCGAAAGCGUGGGGAGCGAACA
rnacentral:rRNA from 1 species